rnacentral:rRNA from 1 species
GACAUCCAGAGAACUUAGCAGAGAUGCUUUGGUGCCUUCGGGAACUCUGAGACAGGUGCUGCAUGGCUGUCGUCAGCUCGUGUUGUGAAAUGUUGGGUUAAGUCCCGCAACGAGCGCAACCCUUAUCCUUUGUUGCCAGCGGUUCGGCCGGGAACUCAAAGGAGACUGCCAGUGAUAAACUGGAGGAAGGUGGGGAUGACGUCAAGUCAUCAUGGCCCUUACGAGUAGGGCUACACACGUGCUACAAUGGCGCAUACAAAGAGAAGCGACCUCGCGAGAGCAAGCGGACCUCAUAAAGUGCGUCGUAGUCCGGAUUGGAGUCUGCAACUCGACUCCAUGAAGUCGGAAUCGCUAGUAAUCGUGGAUCAGAAUGCCACGGUGAAUACGUUCCCGGGCCUUGUACACACCGCCCGUCACACCAUGGGAGUGGGUUGCAAAAGAAGUAGGUAGCUUAACCU